rnacentral:rRNA from 1 species
UAACGGCGAGUGAACCGGGAUGAGCUCAAAUUUAAAAUCUGGCGUCUUUCAGGCGUCCGAGUUGUAAUCUAUAGAGGCGUUUUCCGCGCCGGACCGCGUCCAAGUCUCUUGGAAUAGAGUAUCAAAGAGGGUGACAAUCCCGUACUUGACGCGACAACCGGUGCUCUGUGAUACGUUCUCAAUGAGUCGAGUUGUUUGGGAAUGCAGCUCUAAAUGGGUGGUAAAUUCCAUCUAAGGCUAAAUAUUGGCGAGAGACCGAUAGCGAACAAGUACCGUGAGGGAAAGAUGAAAAGCACUUUGGAAAGAGAGUUAAACAGCACGUGAAAUUGUUAAAAGGGAAACGAUUGAAGUCAGUCGUGUGAAAGGUAUUCAGCCGUCUCUGGCGGUGUAUUUGCCUUUCACGGGUCAACAUCAGUUUGAUCCGGUAGAAAAAGGCAGGAGGAAGGUGGCACCCUCGGGUGUGUUAUAGCCUCUUGUCAUAUGUGCCGGACCAGACUGAGGAACGCAGCUUGCCGCAAGGCCGGGGUUCGCCCACGUACAAGCUUAGGAUGUUGACAUAAUGGCUUUAAA